GACGAACCGUGCAAACGUUGUUCGGAAUCACUGGGCUUAAAGGGCGCGUAGGCGGGUUCCCAAGUCGGUGGUGAAAUCUUUCGGCCCAACCGGAAAAGUGCCGCCGAUACUGGGAGUCUCGAGGGAGGUAGGGGUCGAGGGAACUCUAGGUGGAGCGGUGAAAUGCGUAGAUAUCUGGAGGAACGCCGGUGGCGAAAGCGCUCGACUGGACCUCUUCUGACGCUGAGGCGCGAAAGCCCAGGGGAGCAAACGGG
rnacentral:rRNA from 1 species